GAUGAACGCUGGCGGCGUGCCUAAUACAUGCAAGUCGAGCGAACGGACGAGAAGCUUGCUUCUCUGAUGUUAGCGGCGGACGGGUGAGUAACACGUGGAUAACCUACCUAUAAGACUGGGAUAACUUCGGGAAACCGGAGCUAAUACCGGAUAAUAUUUUGAACCGCAUGGUUCAAAAGUGAAAGACGGUCUUGCUGUCACUUAUAGAUGGAUCCGCGCUGCAUUAGCUAGUUGGUAAGGUAACGGCUUACCAAGGUAACGAUGCAUAGCCGACCUGAGAGGGUGAUCGGCCACACUGGAACUGAGACACGGUCCAGACUCCUACGGGAGGCAGCAGUAGGGAAUCUUCCGCAAUGGGCGAAAGCCUGACGGAGCAACGCCGCGUGAGUGGUGAAGGUCUUCGGAUCGUAAAACUCUGUUAUUAGGGAAGAACAUAUGUGUAAGUAACUGUGCACAUCUUGACGGUACCUAAUCAGAAAGCCACGGCUAACUACGUG
rnacentral:rRNA from 1 species